GGAGGGGGAAAUAUUUGCAUUUACCUCAUCAAGAUCUCCAUAUAAAUGGGCUGGGAAGUGUCAGGCUUUCUCAGCUCCCAGGUGCAUGAAGCAGGGACAUCCAAGAGGAUGAUGGCAGCUCACUUCUUGCUGCAGUUCCUCCUCUUCGGGACUCUACUCGUCCCUGCGUACCUGCAGGAAGCAUGUGGUUUUCUCGAGAUUCACUCUGAAGAAACCGAGAGCAAUUUUUCAGUGACUGUGACACCAGAGGAGUACACGGCCAACACAAGCUACCUGGUUACGAUAAGUGAUGAAAGAAACACCACCACUGGCAGAAAUGUGACCAUGUAUUUACUUCAAGCCUUGUCCCCUGAAAAUACCACCGCAGGAGAAUGGAACGUAACAAACAAGCAAGACUGCAGUGGUGUUGAGACAGCAGUGUUAAAUGCCCCUGAAGAAUCCGUGGCAACAGCAAAUUGGACAUCUCCAAGUAACUUAUCUUCCGUGGAAAUAAGGGCAUACAUCAUCUUUGACAACAAUUCCACCAACUUGAAGAGGGUGACUCUGCAGGAAGUUCCACAAACAGAUCCAACCACACCCUCGACAACCCCUGACUCCGGCUCCGCAGUCCAGAGCAGCUUCUUCUUCAUCGCCGUCACUCAGCUGCUGAUGCUCCUCGCUACAAGCAAACUGCUCUCCUAGGAGGUGGGGAGAGGAGAUGACCCAGCUGUGCUGCUCCUCUCCUCACCCACGGCACAG
rnacentral:lncRNA from 1 species